rnacentral:rRNA from 1 species
GAUGAACGCUGGCGGCGUGCCUAAUACAUGCAAGUCGAGCGAACGGACGAGAAGCUUGCUUCUCUGAUGUUAGCGGCGGACGGGUGAGUAACACGUGGAUAACCUACCUAUAAGACUGGGAUAACUUCGGGAAACCGGAGCUAAUACCGGAUAAUAUUUUGAACCGAAUGGUUCAAAAGUGAAAGACGGUCUUGCUGUCACUUAUAGAUGGAUCCGCGCUGCAUUAGCUAGUUGGUAAGGUAACGGCUUACCAAGGCAACGAUGCAUAGCCGACCUGAGAGGGUGAUCGGCCACACUGGAACUGAGACACGGUCCAGACUCCUACGGGAGGCAGCAGUAGGGAAUCUUCCGCAAAGGGCGAAAGCCUGACGGAGCAACGCCGCGUGAGUGAUGAAGGUCUUCGGAUCGUAAAACUCUGUUAUUAGGGAAGAACAUAUGUGUAAGUAACUGUGCACAUCUUGACGGUACCUAAUCAGAAAGCCACGGCUAACUACGUG